rnacentral:rRNA from 1 species
CCUACGUGAGGCAGCAGUGAGGAAUAUUGGUCCAUGGGCGCGAGCCUGAACCAGCCAAGUAGCGUGAAGGAUGACUGCCCUCCGGGUUGUAAACUUCUUUUAUAAAGGAAUAAAGUGAGGCAAGUGUGCCUUUUUGUAUGUACUUUAUGAAUAAGGAUCGGCUAACUCCGUGCCAGCAUCCGCGGUCAUACGGAGGAUCCGAGCGUUAUCCGUAUUUAUUGGGUUUAAAGGUAGCGUAGAUGGGUUGUUAAGUCAGUUGUGAAAGUUUGCGGCUCAACCGUAAAAUUGCAAUUGAUACUGGCAGCAUUGAGUACAGUUGAGGUAGGCGGAAUUCGUGGUGUAGCGGUGAAAUGCUUAGAUAUCACGAAGAACUCCGAUUGCGAAGGCAGCUUACUAAACUGCCACUGACAUUGAUGCUCGAAAGUGUGGGUAUCAAACAGGAUUAGAUACCCCUGUAGUC